CAGUAGAGCUCUGAGAGCGAAACAUAUAGUCAAAUAUUAGAGCGCAGACUCCAAGACAAACAUUAUACUGCACACAACUGGAAUAAGUUGUCAUGAUCCUGCCGCUCAAGCACGAGCUGUGCGGGUGCCCGCGCAGGUGCGCUGAUUGGGAGGUGCACACCUGCGCCUCAUGCAGCCUGAUUAUGCUGUGGAUUUAUAUGACCGCGAUGACAACUGGCAGGAUCUUCAUGUCCCGUUCGUGUGCUCCGGUAUCCCUGAUCGAACCUGUGUGUACCGACCUUCGCAUGUUCUCCGACCAACCUUUCCUGCAUUUGGGUCCUACUCUCGCUCCGAUGGGACGUGACAUAAGUUGCCAACAGAAGUGAGGUCCAACCCAAGUGUAAACGUUUUUAAAUCCUAGUUGAAAACUUUUUUUUUCUCAUGGUUUUUAGAGUAAUUCCAUUGUUAAUAUUUCUUGCAUUGUACGCUGUUUUUAAUUGUACUUUUAAUUUUUCAUUUUUUUAAAAUGUAUAUACUUUGUUAGGUGGCGCAGCUGUAAAGCCUCACAGUUCUGAAAACCAGGGUUCGAAUCCCGGUCCUCCCUCUGUGGAGUUUGCAUGGUCUUACCUGUGCCUCUGUGGGUUUUCUCGGGGCACUUUGGUUUCCUCCCACAUCCCAAAAACAUGCAAAAUGAAUUGGACACUCUAAAUUGAGCCUAGCUGUGAUUGCGAGUGCGCCUGUUUGUCUCGAUGUGCCCUGCAAUUGGCUGGCAACCAGUUUAGGGUGUCCCCCGCCUCUUGCCUGUUGACAGCGGGGAUAGGCUCCAGCACCCCUGGGAUGUUUGUGAGGAUUAGCAGCUAAUAAAAUGGAUGGAGGGAAACCUUGUCAUUUUUGUUUUUCCCCCAUUUUAAAUGUUAUUUCUUUGUUUUCAAAUCCUUUUAAUCAUGUAAAGCACAUUGAGUUACCUUGUGUAUAAAAUGCGCUGUGUAAAUUUGCUUUGCUCCUUCGAAUGUGUUUUUUAGUCAAAGGUGAUAACGAUUAUUGUAACUAUUUAUAGACCUGUAAAAUACAAUAGAAAAUGUAUGGAUUUUUUUUUUUUUGAACGGCUGUCAAUUAUACAGUAUGUACUGAACUAUUUUUUUCAUACCAGGAGACUAACAUUCAUGUUGACAACAUGGAAAUAAAAUCCAAAGAAUUCUUUGCCAUACUAGACACAUUUGACCUCUCUCAACAUGUUAAGAGUCCAAUUCACACUCAAGGUCACAACUUAGACCCAGU